rnacentral:rRNA from 1 species
AAAUUGAAGAGUUUGAUCAUGGCUCAGAUUGAACGCUGGCGGCAGGCCUAACACAUGCAAGUCGAGCGGCAGCGGGAAAGUAGCUUGCUACUUUUGCCGGCGAGCGGCGGACGGGUGAGUAAUGCCUGGGGAUCUGCCUAGUCGAGGGGGAUAACAGUUGGAAACGACUGCUAAUACCGCAUACGCCUACGGGGAAAGGAGGGGACCUUCGGGCCUUUCGCGAUUGGAUGAACCCAGGUGGGAUUAGCUAGUUGGUGGGGUAAUGGCUCACCAAGGCGACGAUCCCUAGCUGGUCUGAGAGGAUGAUCAGCCACACUGGAACUGAGACACGGUCCAGACUCCUACGGGAGGCAGCAGUGGGGAAUAUUGCACAAUGGGGGAAACCCUGAUGCAGCCAUGCCGCGUGUGUGAAGAAGGCCUUCGGGUUGUAAAGCAC